GUGCUUCUUGCAUGAAAUGUCCAACUUUAACAUCUGACUUGGCUUGUGAUUAUGCUUGUUUAGCAACUUAAUCAUUUUUCAUUCCCGGCCUACAUGAUUUGAACAAACUGGGGCAGUUUGAGCUAGCUUAAGUAUGUGACUUGCUUUUAAAGUAUAGUUGACUUGAUUUUACCUACACAUAGUUUUUGAUUAUGUGAUUGUGUACAAUCUGGUUAGAAAGCCUAUCUCUGAUAGGCUGAUGACUAAGUUGCAAGAAAUAAUGUUUUCUGGACUCUACAAGCCUAAAAUACAUUGAACGUUUUAGCAGGAGGGGAAAGGAAAGUGUUUUGUUCUUAUGUUUCAUGGUGGUGAGGAGGUAUUGAUAUAGAAAUG